GAUGAACGCUAGCUACAGGCUUAACACAUGCAAGUCGAGGGACCGGCGCACGGGUGAGUAACACGUAUCCAACCUGCAAUUUACUCGGGGAUAGCCUUUAGAAAGAAAGAUUAAUAACAGAUAUAAAGGAUGGGGAUGCGUUACAUUAGGUUGUAGGUGAGGUAGCGGCUCACCAAGCCUGCGAUGGAGAGGUGUUCGGAGAGGAAGGUCCCCCACAUUUGAGCUGAGGCACGGUCCAAACUCGUACGCGGGGCUGCAGUGGGUAAUAUUGGUCAAUGAGCGCUAGCCUGACCCAGCCACGUAACGGGAAGGAUGAAUGCUUAGUGGUCGUAUACUUCUUUUAUAUAAGAAUCUGUAUUAUAUGAAUAAGGAUCGGCUAACUCCGUGCCAGCAGCCGCGGUAAUAC
rnacentral:rRNA from 1 species